AGGAUCCUGUGAACGGACACGCUGUGACCAUGCCAACCACACGGAUGAAUCACACAAACACUGCCAGGUUGGCUGAAAGAAGCCAGAUGGGAGAGAAUACACAACACGUGAUUCUGUUUAUCAAGUUCAGGAAGAGGCAAAACUAAACCGUGUUGUGGAGGAAGCACACACUCGUGGAAAGAGAGGAGCGGAGGUGCCACUCCGCCAGCCCCUGAGUCCCUCCAGCCUGUGCCAGCCGCCACCUUAAUUCCCACGCCCUCAACCACUGGACCACUCGGCUCAGGGUCUACUGCCAGUGAGCGCAGAGGCGGUCUGAACCCAGCCCACAGCGUUUCCAGUGGGAACAGGAAAGCGGGAUGAAGCCCUGUGGGGAAGCACACAGAGCUGGGCCUGGGGCAGAGGUGUGAAAGGGAAAGGGGCGGCCUUUCUGCUGGAGGAGGUGGGCAGGCUGCCUCCUCUCCCGCUCUGCUUGCCCCUCUUCCUCCUUCCUGUCUGGGUCAGCCUAGGAGCUGCCCUGGGCCCUGACAUUGCCAGUUUAACUCCUGGCUUCACCUCUUUACCAGCCUGAGCUUCCACUUCCCACGUAUAAAAG
rnacentral:lncRNA from 1 species